rnacentral:piRNA from 1 species
UACUUCGAGUAAGUUUUUGGG